rnacentral:misc_RNA from 1 species
AACGCACAUUGCGCUCUCUGGUACUCCGGAGAGCAUGCUUGUUUCAGAAUCGAAUAAACCACCCUCUCCCAUGUUGGUCUUUUUGGUUUUUCUUUAUUGAAAAACCUUUUUUUCCAACAGUUGGGAAGAUCAAUGGGAACUUUCUGGGGAACCUUUCGGGGUUGCCCAGAUUCCCUCAAAUACAUUGAUAUAUCCUCCCCUUGAGGCAUCUAUCAAGAUCCUAAUAUUGGUUCUCUUUUUUUAAAAGUUUCUUGAAGCUCCUGCUUUUUAACUUCAAUUAUCAUUUCUGAUAUUGAAAAGAAGGACAAGACGACUUUUUUAAAAUUAGUUUUAUUUAGUGCAACAGAUGUCGAUUUGAUUCGCAUUUACCACUUUAUAAUGACUCUUUUUUUAAAGGUUAUCCUUUGAUUUCUUUUCUACUACGUAUCAGAUCUUGAGAACGAGAUCUAAAAAAGGGAACGGAGAGAGUACUCUUUGAAAAAUUAAAAUCAAAAAAAAUGUUGGGAAUCAUAUCUUGUAUAGAAACUCCAAAGGUUGGGCAUGUCUCCUCUUUAUUCACGUUUUUUGUUUUACAUACUCUGUAUUACAAACUUCUGACUUCUGAUCUGAAAUCAAGCAAGAAAACCCGCUGAACUUAA